UAUUUUAAAGAACACUCUCAGCAUCACAUAAGCAGUUUAAGUAAAUACUCUUAUCUAAUAAAUCAGGGGAUAACCAAGUGUCGUUAGCUCAAUUGGUAAAAACCCUACACGAAGCUUAUAGGUCGCCGGUUCGAGUGACACUUGAAACGAAACUAAUAUUACAUGUUGUGGUUUCGGGCCUGGAAGAUUACAGGCUUCGGCCCAGAACCUCCUGGUAUUAAAAAAAAAUAAA
rnacentral:sRNA from 1 species